UCACUGUGUGCAGCCCACACCUAAGGAGUGAGGAGUGAUCUUUUUUAGGCAGAGACGAGGUUUCACCAUGUCGGGACCAAUCAGGCUGGUCUUGAACUCCUGACCUCAAAUCAUCCGCCCGCCUCGGCCUCCCAAAGUGCUGGAAUUACAGGCAUGAGCCACUGCACCCGGCCAAUUUUUUAAAUUAGAAUCAGAUAGGUAAUGUACCAGCAUCAUAACAAGGUUCAAGGGUGGCACAUCUCACACGUGCACGUGAACACCUAGUCAUCAUGUUUAUGAACUCCAAAGGAUCGCCCUACAGAUUCUGAGCAAAGCUGUCACCGUGCUCCCAUCAGGCUGCUAUAGAGUCCUUAGCAGACCGUACCCCUACUGAGAGUUCACCUUGCACAGAAUCUAAAAGAAUCUUGCCUUCUGUCCAGUGGGAAUGACUUUACUAGGACUGUCGGGAAGAUGGAUUCCAUCGUUUGGCCUUGCAUAUGAGUCAAAACCUCUAUGAGUCAAAACCUGACAAUAGGAACAGCUCAGUCUUAAAAAGUUCAGAGAUUACAUUCAGUAAUAUCACUUUUCAUUUAGUUUAUGAAAAUCGAGGUUGCAGUUUAUAAGAAUAUAUGUUCAAGAAAGUUUACUAUAACUUUAUUUGUAAUAGCAAAAACCCUAGAGAUAAUUUGAAUUUUAUCACGAAGUGUUUUAAAAAGUAUGGUUCAUCUAUAAUAUAGAAUAUAUCAUGCAAUUUUUUUAAAUGAGUUGAGAUUACCUAUGUGGACUUGAAAAGCUGUGAUACAUUCGUAAGUAAUAAACAUUGCAGAGUAAUGUUAAUGGAAAAUGUUAAAGUAAGAUCUUACUUUGGAGAAAAAUAAGGAAAUCUUCAUAUGUGUGUAUAUAUGAUUAUAUGAGCCUGGAGAAAGAAGUGGCAAGAUACCACCUCAGCUAUUAAAAUUUGUUACCAUGAGAGCAGAUUUGGGCUGGGGGAGGAGACAUUAACACGUCUGUAUUUGACUUUUACAGCAAGCAUGUAUUGAUAUUGUGAUUCUUUAAUAAAGUGAAAAUUUUGAGGAGCAUGGGUUUGAGAUAAACAGAUGGAUUAUAAGCUAGUUUUUAUCACUUAAUAUUCGUGAGAGGUUUGGAAUUAAUAAAUUACCUAACCUCAGUCUUCAUCUAUAAAAAGAGAAUAACACCUGCCUCACAGUAUAUAAUUAAAGGAAGUAUACAAAGCUUGUAACAUUAUCCUUUUAUAAAUGUCACUUUCUUUUUCCUUCCACAUAAGCGAUUUGGAGUAGAAUAUUAAAAUAAAUGCAGAAUGCCUUG